UGCCUACCUUUAAGUCAUCAGAAAUAAUCACCCCUAAAUCCCUUUCCUCAGAUGUUGAGGUUAGGACUCUAUCAAAUAUUCUGUACUCUGCCCUUGGGUUUUUACAUCAAAGUUGCAUUAUCUUGCACUUAUCCACAUUAAAUGUCAGUUGCCACAACUUUGACCAUUUUUCUUUCUUACCUAGAUCAUUUGCCAUUUGGCUUAUCCCUCCUGGAACAUCAACCCUGUUACAUAUUUUAGUAUCAUCAGCAAAAAGACAUACCUUACAAUGAAG
rnacentral:lncRNA from 1 species